GCGACAGGAAGGGACGAGCUUUUGGUCUGGUCUCUGCUGGCAGCAGCCGGGGCUGUGUGUCCCUGAGAGAUGCCUAGUCCCGGCUGCUGCCAGCAGAGACCAGGCCGAAAGCUCGUCCCCUCCUGUCGCUUU
rnacentral:pre_miRNA from 1 species